CAAACGACUCUCGGCAACGGAUAUCUCGGCUCACGCAUCGAUGAAGAACGUAGCAAAAUGCGAUACUUGGUGUGAAUUGCAGAAUCCCGUGAACCAUCGAGUUUUUGAACGCAAGUUGCGCCCGAAGCCAUCUGGUUGAGGGCACGUCUGCCUGGGCGUCACGC
rnacentral:rRNA from 1 species